ensembl:ncRNA C07A4.4 ncRNA
AAAAACCCGUCGGAAAGGGGAAAAGACAGGACACCUCUCUUCCUCGAUGCCCCGUUUCCAACCGCCGCUGAUUUCCCAGGCCCCGUUGUGUCAAUUUGAUCGACUUGGCGGUAACUGUUGGCAGCACUUUGAUUUCCCCAUUU